CGGAAUUAUUGGGCGUAAAGCGCACGUAGGCGGCUUUGUGUGUCGGAUGCGAAAUCCCUCGGCUUAACCAAGGAAGUGCAUUCGAAACUGCAAAGCUUGAGUACUUAAGAGGAUCGCGGAAUUCCCGGUGUAGAGGUGAAAUUCGUAGAUAUCGGGAGGAACACCAGUGGCGAAGGCGGCGAUCUGGGAAGAUACUGACGCUGAGGUGCGAAAGCGUGGGGAGCAAACAGG
rnacentral:rRNA from 1 species